GGGGGCGACAUGGCUUCGACGCCGAUGACAACCUCCUAGGUGCAUGCCGAGAGUGUGAUGUAUCUCGUAAAUCCAAUAUCACGAUUAAAUAGUCGCAAACGACGAAAACUACGCUCAAGGUGCCCUGGCAGCCUAACAGCUGUUAGUGGUUAGCCUGGCCCCAACGCGAUGUGCCUAUCUAUCGCCGCGGGGAUAUGAGCUAAAGCGGAUAGGAUCGCGAUUGACUUUGUUCUCGCGUCAAUUGCUAAAUAUUAGAGGAAUCGCGCUACAGUAUCCUGCUCGUCGGAGGCUGUAGUGUUAAAUUAAAAGACGAACCUAAGCAUGUAGAGCCGAAGAGCGAGUGUCGGCGGACGCGGGUUCGAUCCCCGCCGCCUCCACCA
rnacentral:tmRNA from 1 species